ensembl:lncRNA
GGAGGAGCGAGCAAGCGGCGGCAGCGAGCGGUCCGUCUCGCACGCGCGGGCACCGCGCUGGUCCUGGGCUGCAGGUUUCCCAGAUGAUGGCAUCCGAGAACUUAAACAAAGGGGGCCGCCGCCGGCGCGCAGCGGCUGCGGAAAGUUGCGGUGGCGGAUUUCCAAGGAGCGCGGCCACGACCCGAGCUCUUGGCGAUGCGAGCCCCCGCUUCCCACCCCCGCCGAUCAGAGAUGGGGGCCGGCUGGUGAAGGGAAGAGGAAACUUUGAAACCACUGGGGACACAUCUGUCUAUAGUUCUGGAGACUGGGAAGUCCAAGAUCAGGGUGCUGCCAGAUUUGGUUCUUGUCCUGGUUCAUAGAAGAUUGUCCUCAUCAUAGGUAUGGGCAAAGACUUCAUGACUGAAACACCAAAAGCAAUUGCAACAAAAGCCAAAAUUGACAAAUGGGAUCUAAUUAAACUAAAGAGCUUCUGCACAGCAAAAGAAACUAUCAUUGGAGUGAACAGGCAACCUACAGAAUGGGAGAAAUUUUUUGCAAUCUAUCCAUCUGACAAAAGGUUAAUAUCCAAAACCUACAAAGAAAUUCAACAAAUACACAAGAAAAAAACAACCCCAUCAAAAAUUGGGCAAAGGAUAUGAACAGACACUUGUCAAAAGAAGACAUUUAUGUGGCCAACAAACAUGAAAAAAGCUCAUCAUCACUGGUCAUUAGAGAAAUGCAAAUCAAACCACAAUGAGAUACCAUCUCACGCCAGUUAGAAGGGCAAUCAUUAAAAAGUCAAGAAACAACAGAUGCUUAAGAGGAUGUGGAUAAAUAGGAACACUUUUACACUGUUGGUGGGAGUGUAAAUUAGUUCAACCAUUGUGGAAGAAGUAUGGCAGUUCCUCAAGGAUCUAGAACUAGAAAUGCUGUUUGACCCAGCCAUCUCAUUACUGGGUGUAUACCCAAAGGGUUAUAAAUCAUGCUACUAUAAAGACACAUGUACAUGUACAUUUAUUGCAGCACUGUUCACAAUAGCAAAGACUUGGAACCAACCCAAAUGCCCAUCAAUGAUAGACUGGAUAAAUAAAAUGUGGCACAUAUAUACCAUGGAAUACUAUGCAGCCAUUAAAAAAGGAUGAGUUCAUGUCCUUUGCAGGAACAUGGAUGAAGCUGGAAACCAUCAUUCUCAGCAAACUAACACAAGAACAGAAAAGCAAACACUGUAUGUUCUCACUCGUAAGUGGGAGUUGAACAAUGAGAACACAUGGACAUAGGGAGGGGAACAUCACACACUGGGGCCUAUCAGGUGGUGGGGGGCUAGGGGAGGGACAGCAUUAGAAGAAGUACCUAAUGUAGAUGAUGGGUGGAUGGGUGCAACAAACCACCAUGGCAUGUGUCUACCUAUGUAACAACCCUGCACAUUCAGCACAUGUAUCCCAGAACUUAAAGUACAUAUAUAAAAAUUGGCCUCACUAUGCCCCAACAUGGUGGGAAAGGCAAGGAAUCUCUCUGGGGUCUCUUUUAUAAGGGCACUAAUCCCACCCAUUAGGGCUCUGCCUUCAAAACCUAACCACCUCUUAACACCUUCGUUUUGGGCAUUAGAAUUUCAACACAUGGCGUUUGGGGGCACACAGAUAUCCAGUUCAUCACAACAAGGUCAGGAAAGCUUCCUUCUGGUGAGUUUUUAAAGACACACACAAACAAAGAUGAGAAGGCAGGGAGAAAGAAAAGGAGAGAGGGUAGAGAGAGAGAAAAGGAUGGGGAUUUAACUCUCUGAUAAAUAUUAACACGUUUACAAUUUUUUAAAAAUGGGUCAGUGCAGUGGCUCAUGCCUCUAAUCCCAGCACUUUGAGAGGUCAAGGCAUUAGAAUUGCUUGAGCCAAAGAGUUUGAGACCACCCUGGGCAACACAGUGAGACAUCCAUCUCCAGAAAAAUUUUUUUAAAUUAGGUGCUGUGGUGUGCACCUGUAAGUCUGAAAGCUGGGGCAGGAGGAUUGUUCAAGCCCAAGAGUUUAAGGCUGCAGUAAGUUAUAAUUGUGCCACUCUACUCCAGCCUGAGUAACAGAGUGAGACCUUGUCUCAAAAAAAAAAAAAAAAAAAA